rfam:Dichanthelium oligosanthes cultivar Kellogg 1175 unplaced genomic scaffold Do_version_2_scaffold914, whole genome shotgun sequence.
GAAGAUAUGAUGAUCCUUUCCCCAGAUGAUCGACAGUGAACAUACUGUGCUCUAUAACUUCUCAUUGGAGAACCAAGCCAGAAUUCUGAUCCUU